CUCAAGAGGAGGACCUAGAUGCUUUCAGUUUUAACUAUUCACCAAUGGUGGAGAAGGCAGAAUGCCUAAGCUAUGUCUGGGCGGCCAAUAGGAUAGCUGGGUAUCUCCCACAUGACUCGCUGCCCCUGUCUUUCACAUGGGCUGUAAUUUAGUUCAAUUCAGAACUGCAGAUAGUACAGCUUUCACAGGAGCAGGGGAUGCCUGAGCACAAGUGGCUGAGUUCCGAGUGACUUUAGGAAGCACUUUCCUCCCUCCCUCCUGCCUGAGAACGGGGAUUCUGCACCUGCAUCAGGGACAGUCUGGCAAAAGCCUCUGCCAUGCCUCGGGGGACAAGGAACUAGCACAAAUAACCGUUUUGAAAUUGGAUCUUGGCAAAAUUAACGACAAAUCCAUAAAGGAAACCGAAGGCAGUUUGAGCUUCAUCUUCGAUGACAAUCCCACCAAAGUUGAAGAAAUAUGUUACGUCUCUAAAGAAGAGCAUGGCUGUGCCCUAAAGUUAGGACGUGAUGGUGGCAGUCCUGUGAACCUGUGCGAGGGCUGCGAUUCGCCAGCCUGUGCUCGCCCCUCAGCAGACAACCGAGGGCUGCAGACAAUGGCUCCUCCACACCACGGCGUCCGCGGAGACAGACUUGCUCUCUCUGAUUUAUGUGCUGAGUCCUCUGAGAGGAACGCCUGGGCGGGACAAUGCACAGCCGAGGCAGAUGACUUGCCUUGGUGCUUGGCUCCCUCACCUGAGAGCUGUCAUUUGAGCACUGGCAGAGAGCUAAAAGGCCUCUUGGAAUAUUCCCUAGACGAAAGGAACCCACAGUACAGCCUCUUCAGGUUACACCUGCUGUUUAAAAUCCAAGCUCUGUGAAGCGUGCAUUGCUGCGCUUCCUGACGGAGGCAAAGGAGGCUGAAGCGGAGGGACCCUCGUAGGCGAGCGCUGCCAGCUCAGGGGGCAGCGUAAAGUCAGCAGCUGCCAUCUUGCAGUUUGCCAUCAGUGUUUUCUUACUACAGGACUGCUCUGUUUCUGCUGAACGGCAUACUAUUUUGAACUUGACUUAUUGUUCACUUAGAAUGAAAAACAUGUCUUCUAUUUGACCUUUUCUAAUUAUUUUCUUUUCGCUUCAUAUAAUGAUGGGGGGAAAUAUGUGUUAAAACAAACAAAAAAACCCCCAACUUACUUGUUACUUAGUAUUUCAUUUAUUUCUGAGAAAUCUGCUCCCCAAAUCUUCUUGUCAAGAAAAAAAAGCUUGUCAGAGAGAAAAAGCUACCACAUCGUUGGGCUCCUUCAUUCUUUUGGUAAUUGUGGAGGCAAAAAGAGCCAUGACUCUGUCACGCAGGUGGACAGGGGCUCAGGACGGCUUCCGAUGUCUGAAAAAGUGCACAGGCUUUGAAGGGAAUCGCAGACCUCCAAAAUGAGUGUGUACCCUGUCAGACAGGGCUUCACAAAAUUUGCUUUUGCAAUUUUAUUGGCCUUGUCAGUCCUCAUAUUCUGUUCUUCUAUAUAUUUAGAAGAGUUUUAUAUUUUAGGAAUCCAAUUUUCUACAUGUUGGUGUAUUUACAUUGGCUUGGGGGUUAAAGGCAAGAGGGAAACACGUAAAUAGCAAAAUUCCAGCUAAUGUUGUAGUUAACCCAUAACCUCAAACAUCUGUAUUAACGAUAAAUGUUGGCAAAUCUCUCUCACAAUAUAUCGUUAAGUAUCUCUCACAUGGAUCAAGUAGAACUUGAGCUUUUUUACCUUUUUUUUAAGGCUAUCAAUUCAAUAAUGGGAAGACGUAAUAAGAAAAAUUAAAAUUGUAAAAUUUUAAGGUCUGAUGUGUAUGCCUGCAGGCAAUAUUUUUUUCUGUUUCCAAGCUUUGAUUUAUCCUUUUUAAUUUCAAACAUCCGAAACUAAGAAAGCUGCUUUUUAAGAAGAAGAAGAAGAAGAGGAAAAAGAAAAGGAGGAGGAGGAGAAGGGAGAGGGGAGAGCAAGGAGAAAGAAGGAAGAAAAGUAUCCAGGAGCUUCAGAAUUAGAUAAAAAGUUCUUGUUUAUUAUAAAUCAUAAAACUUUCAACUCCUUAUCUCCGGGGAAAAGAACUAAGAAAAAUGCAUUAAGUGUUCUUACUCUUCAAAAGCAAAAUGAACAGAGGUUUAUGUUUUAUGACAUUUUGAGAUCAAAUGUAUUUGUCAGUGGCUUUUUGGGAGAUGAGAGGGAAGGGCUGGUCAGAGAGGUCGGUUCUCCAUGUGGCACCAGUGUGAUGACAUUGACCUGAAGGGACUGCAAAGUUCUGGAUUCUUAAAUGCAUUAAAAAUAGAUAAAUAAAAGAGAUUAAAAAAUAGAGUUGGAGUUAAAUGAUCCUAUAAUUAAAGAUUAUAAAACUCUAGAAGUUAUCCUUUGACUGAAACAAAAUAAAAACUUCAUAGGAUGAACCAAAAAUUGGGGUGAGGGCUGGAGCAAUAAUGACAGUCUUGAAAGUUGAGAAGCGACUUUUAGCCUGACCCACAAUUUCACUGAGCACCUGGAAGAGGAGGAAAUGAUGGUGUGAAAUGGCCCUGAUCAUGAAUUGACUCCUGUCUCUGUCUCCACAUUUUUGUGGGGUCUUAGGCAAGUCAUUUAAAUUUUCUAAGUAUUUCUUCUUUUAUAAGAUAAAAUGAUUCGAUUAGAUUAGAUGAUGAAAAAAUUGAAACUUUAAGUACUAAUCUAUUUUCAAAGGAAAGAUCAUCUUAAAAUAUUCCUUAUAAUAAAAGAAAUAGAGGGAGCUUGAAUAAUUUGUCAGCAUUACUUUAUGAGAUCAUUAUUAAUUUUAGUUACUUCUUAAGAUUUCUUUCUAAGAGUCUACGUUUGUGUUUUUAAGUGAAUGGGAAAUAAUCCAAAUUGAUUAGCCUUUCCGCUAAGAAUCUAUAAUCCAAGAAGUCAUGUACAUCUAUGUACUUGAAGUAUAAUGUAUGCUCUUUUUGGCAUAAACUCCUCACAUUGAUAUUCCCUGAAAUUAAACCAUUGACUUUCACAAUAUUAAAUUUCACAACAGAAAACAAAGACAAAGCAAUUUUCAAAGGUUUGUUGUUCGUUUCCUUUCUCUCAAGAUAAAGCUGCUGUUAGGAUUGUGCCGUACCCACUUAGAAAUCUUUCCUUGUUUUUCCUUCCUCCUUCCAGACCUCCCUCCCUCCCUUCCUCCCUUCCUUCCUUCCUUUCUUUUUGUUUCAUUUUACUAAGAAAAAAUUUUAAGCAAGAAUAGCUUUCGAUGAAAAAAUAUUUUAUUUAUUUGUGUUCAAGCGCUUGACGGGCAGCUACUAAAGUGGCACCAGAAGUGGAGCAUUGGUUUUCAUGUUUGCUUCGAAAUCUAAGAAAAAAUGGGUUGUUGCUGAUGGAAAUUUGAAAUUCAGAUUCCUGAAGACCUUCCUUAUGCUUCCAAGAUGUCGUAACAACCACCUGAG
rnacentral:lncRNA from 1 species